GAUGAACGCUGGCGGCGUGCCUAAUACAUGCAAGUCGAGCGAACGGACGAGAAGCUUGCUUCUCUGAUGUUAGCGGCGGACGGGUGAGUAACACGUGGAUAACCUACCUAUAAGACUGGGAUAACUUCGGGAAACCGUAGCUAAUACCGGAUAAUAUUUUGAACCGCAUGGUUCAAAAGUGAAAGACGGUCUUGCUGUCACUUAUAGAUGGAUCCGCGCUGCAUUAGCUAGUUGGUAAGGUAACGGCUUACCAAGGCAACGAUGCAUAGCCGACCUGAGAGGGUGAUCGGCCACACUGGAACUGAGACACGGUCCAGACUCCUACGGGAGGCAGCAGUAGGGAAUCUUCCGCAAUGGGCGAAAGCCUGACGGAGCAACGCCGCGUGAGUGAUGAAGGUCUUCGGAUCGUAAAACUCUGUUAUUAGGGAAGAACAUAUGUGUAAGUAACUGUGCACAUCUUGACGGUACCUAAUCAGAAAGCCACGGCUAACUACGUGCCAGCAGCCGCGGUAAUACGUAGGUGGCAAGCGUUAUCCGGAAUUAUUGGGCGUAAAGCGCGCGUAGGAGGUUUUUUAAGUCUGAUGUGAAAGCCCACGGCUCAACCGUGGAGGGUCAUUGGAAACUGGAAAACUUGAGUGCAGAAGAGGAAAGUGGAAUUCCAUGUGUAGCGGUGAAAUGCGCAGAGAUAUGGAGGAACACCAGUGGCGAAGGCGACUUUCUGGUCUGUAACUGACGCUGAUGUGCGAAAGCGUGGGGAUCAAACAGGAUUAGAUACCCUGGUAGUCCACGCCGUAAACGAUGAGUGCUAAGUGUUAGGGGGUUUCCGCCCCUUAGUGCUGCAGCUAACGCAUUAAGCACUCCGCCUGGGGAGUACGACCGCAAGGUUGAAACUCAAAGGAAUUGACGGGGACCCGCACAAGCGGUGGAGCAUGUGGUUUAAUUCGAAGCAACGCGAAGAACCUUACCAAAUCUUGACAUCCUUUGACAACUCUAGAGAUAGAGCCUUCCCCUUCGGGGGACAAAGUGACAGGUGGUGCAUGGUUGUCGUCAGCUCGUGUCGUGAGAUGUUGGGUUAAGUCCCGCAACGAGCGCAACCCUUAAGCUUAGUUGCCAUCAUUAAGUUGGGCACUCUAAGUUGACUGCCGGUGACAAACCGGAGGAAGGUGGGGAUGACGUCAAAUCAUCAUGCCCCUUAUGAUUUGGGCUACACACGUGCUACAAUGGACAAUACAAAGGGCAGCGAAACCGCGAGGUCAAGCAAAUCCCAUAAAGUUGUUCUCAGUUCGGAUUGUAGUCUGCAACUCGACUACAUGAAGCUGGAAUCGCUAGUAAUCGUAGAUCAGCAUGCUACGGUGAAUACGUUCCCGGGUCU
rnacentral:rRNA from 1 species